UACGGGGGGGGUAAGCGUUGUUCGGAAUUACUGGGCGUAAAGGGCGCGUAGGCGGCCUUCUAAGUCAGACGUGAAAUCCCCCGGCUUAACCUGGGAACUGCGUCUGAUACUGGGGGGCUUGAGUAUGGGAGAGGGAUGUAGAAUUCCAGAUGUAGCGGUGAAAUGCGUAGAUAUCUGGAGGAAUACCGGUGGCGAAGGCGGCAUCCUGGACCAUUACUGACGCUGAAUCACGAAAGCUAGGGGAGCAAACGGG
rnacentral:rRNA from 1 species